rnacentral:tRNA from 1 species
GGGGACGUAACUCAAUGGGAGAGUGCCAGCUUUGCAAGCUGGAAGUUGCCGGUUCGAGUCCGGUCGUCUCCA